UGAGAGAAGAAACGUUUCGCUUCAGAUCUCAAUUUCUUUCCCUCUUUCUUCUCACUCUCAGUUAACACAAAAUCCAUGUCUCAUAUCACCAUCCAUGGCAGACCUACUGUGGCUACUAGGUUCCUCAAAUAAGUCCAACUGAGAUGUUUUUUGAUUUUAUAGGGAUAGCCAUAAACUGCAGACAUCAACCAUUCAAAGUUUCUAGAUCUAUCUGUGACUACAACAUCAAUUGGAUUGAAACUUAAAAGACCAAGCGAGAACUAAUCCUCUUGCAGUGCCAAUCACUCAUGUGGGUUCAACUACAAUCAUAUCCAGCUUUAGAGGGAAUGCAUCCGAAGUUUCUCUCUGCCUGGCUCCAAGUUUCUAUCAAUAGUAGCAGGGGAGGUUGGCUUAGUUGGGAUUUCAGUUGCAGGUUCUGUGUUCUAUUUUGUAGCUGGUAAUGGUAUGGAUUGAGGGAACUGGAUUGCAGGAUGGUUGCUGGGUUGUCUUGUAGCUUCUCUAACAGGUGAGUGAAUAGGGUUUUGAUGUUGGGUUUGAGCACACUUAACAGUUUGUAGUGAGAGCAUUUUGGGUAUUUUCAUAGGUUGCAUUAUGUUGCUGAUAUAGUUGAUGUGGGAGUUUGAUGGUGGAGAUCAGUUCAAAGUCCAUUUUAGUGACUUUUUCCUUUAAUUUCUUUUGCCUCUGAGCUGUGAUAUGGAGCAUAGCUUUCAUCAGGGUCUUCUCCUAGUUAGAUUUAAAUAUCUUGAAAGCAAGUUUACAUUUGAUCUUCUCCUUCUCAUGCUGAGUCUCUUCUUUCCACUUCCAAUUUGUGUCUUCUUAGAUGAGUUUUGCCUGCCUUCUGCAUCCUCUAUGGAUAUUGCAGCUUUGUUGUUUGUGGUGUUGCUUUCUCCAUGACUUGCUCCUGCCUUUGUUUCAGUGAUAGAGAGUUUUGAGUUACCAGUACUCUUUCUUGAGUUCUUAUAAGCUUCAAAUUUGUAGCUCUUCCUCCAUGUUUCUUUCUCAAUAAUGAGGGUAGUUCUUCCUUUCAUUCCAUUACAAAAAGCCACCUCCUUGUUUUACUCAUGAGUCCUCUCUUUUCCUUUGAUCUUCUGAGUCAUUUCAGCUGAGACCCUCCCUUGAACUUUGGUCAGCUGGAUUCUUCUUGUUGGUCUAGUGUGUUUUUUGAAGUUUUCAAAUCCUGGUGGUGGUUCUACAAAAGCUGCUGAGUCAAAUAAUUGGAAAGAAGAAUUAGGAUGUGUAGCAAAAUUUACCACUUCUGGUGGUCCAUGAAAAAAAUCUAAAGCUGCUUGAUUUCCUUCCCCUCUUUUUGAACACUCUCCCAUUUUCAUUUCCUGUUCUUUGUAUUUUGUGUGCUGGUGACAUAUCCUCCCCUUCAGACAGUGGUCUUUUUGAGUGUGCAUCUUCAUUUUCAAUUAAAGUCUCUUGGAGUGAGACUUCUAGCUUGAAACUUGGGCCCUGAAUCUCAUUCAAUAGCUUCUCUUCCUUAGCAGUUGAUUUAGCAUCCUCCUUGUCCAUUUGUGAGCUACUUGCUUCUCCUGUAUGAAAAUUUUGUGGUUCAGUGCGCAAGAACUUUGAUGUGGCUUUGAAGGCUGCAUUUGAUCUUCAACAAAUGCUUCAUUUUCUUCUUUUUCUGCUAGUUCUUCCAUUAUGGUGUCCUGCAUUGUUAUGUAAAUGUGUUGGCUGGCAGAACAUUUUUUCUUUGGAUGAUUUAGGAUUCUACAAUGUUUACAGAAACCUUUUGGCAGUUUCUCAAAGAAUAGCUUCACAAUGAUGGGUUCUUUUUUCCCCAUGUUGACUAGAAUGUGGUCCCAAAGUUUGUUAUUGACAUUUAUCUCAACAAGAACUCUGGGACAGGAUAAUGUUAGCAGACUUCUUGAGGGUUUGUCCACCAUGAGAUAUGGAGCCAUAGAGCUUGCAAUAUCAUAGGAGAUCUGUCCACUUGCGCAUUCAGGUGGUAGAUCAAUGAGCCUAGCCCACAUAGUAAUGAUAUCCAUGUUUAUUGAAGCAGGAGCAACUCCAAACAAGUAUUCUUGGACCACCAGCAGGAAGGGACCAAAGCCCCAGAGAAUUUUUGAUAUAGCAUAUUGAACAUCAUUUCUUGAAAACAGCUUAAAAACAAAAAAAAAAAAAUUCUCUUUGCCUCUGAAAACUAGAGAACAUUCUGGUGAAUAAUCUAGCUGCCAUAUUUCUCUUUUUUCAUUUUGAACUCACAAUGUAUCUUGGCAAUUAUUUGAAGGUUUGAUUGCUUUCUGCUUUCA